rnacentral:lncRNA from 1 species
GGAAAUCCAUUUUUUCAUUGAUUGAUUUUAUUGCUGAGAGGGUCCACCAUGUUAUCUGUAGUCAUGGCGACAUCCCAUCAUCGGACUCCAGUUUACCAGUUGCUAUAAAUCACCAGACUUGUGAGUUAAAGACUGAUCAUGUGAUGAAGGGAUGUUUGCCGUAUCGCCGGGCGGACUGCCGGAAUCCUUCGAGGCAUCUCGCAGGGCAGGCUUACCCUCCAUCCGCAUGGCAGGCUAUAUCAACAGCAGGGGGAUGCUUGUGGAGAGAGUGAUGUCGUUGGUGAACCCUUGUGGCAAGGAGGACGUCAAAGACCAGCUGCAUUAUUCUCUUGCAAGGACCCUCGUUUAUAUUUUCUUCCUUCUUUUUGUUUGAUUUGACUCAUCC